UACGUAGGGUGCAAGCGUUAAUCGGAAUUACUGGGCGUAAAGCGUGCGCAGGCGGUGAUGUAAGACAGGUGUGAAAUCCCCGGGCUUAACCUGGGAACUGCAUUUGUGACUGCAUCGCUGGAGUGCGGCAGAGGGGGAUGGAAUUCCGCGUGUAGCAGUGAAAUACGUAGAGUAUGCGGAGGAACACCGAUGGCGAAGGCAAUCCCCUGGGCCUGCACUGACGCUCAUGCACGAAAGCGUGGGGAGCAAACAGG
rnacentral:rRNA from 1 species